UAGGAACGAAAAAAACUGCACGUUCCAUCGAGAUGUCCGCCGCGCCCUGUAUAAAUAAAUUGCUGGAACUCGACGUCUCUUCUUCUCUCUUAUUCUUAUUUCAUCGGCCUCGCUCUCGAGAAAGAGAUCGAAUUGAAUGGCCAUUGCUGGCAGUCGCACCUUGCGGCAACGAGGAGGGACGUGUACGUACGGUCGAUUAAGUCGAUUGGAUAAAGACCGAGAGAGAGCAAAACUGGUGAUCUCGUUCCACGCGGUGGCCCCGAUGUAUCUAUAACCGUGUUCCACGGUCGCGAGUAUUGCUACAAAUGAGAGUUUGAGGCGUCACUGACUCGCUGUGCAACUCUCUUGUCUCGCUCUCUCGGCUUUGCAUUCUUUUCUAAGCCUGUUCUCUCUGUUUGUUGUCGCUUAUUGAAUCUGAUUCGAGAAUCGUCUCAAUUAUAUUCAUUUUUCUUUCCUUUUUACAUCGAUAACGUUAAUCUUUAACGAUCGAAAAAAACUUUUUUUUAGGUUAGGUUGAUCGACUAUUUUGAUAUCGGUACAAAGUUUUUGAUAAAUUCUUAUAUUUUGGUUAUAGUUAUCAUGACUAGAGUUAAAAAAUUUCGUCAAAGUUGAAUGUAAUUAUUUAUUCAAAAAAGUGAAUACGUAGCGCGAGAAGGAGAUCUCGUAGCGGACAAACGACGUGGAAAGUCCAACGAGACAGCAGUUGGCACACAGUCCGACUCUCGAUUCAUGCAACGUCACGUGUCGCAUCCGAAGAUACACGCUUUCUUUGUGUGGCAUUAACGUAUUCUGACUUGGACACUGCAUCGGAAACACCAUUCUAAAUCGGUUUCAAAAGUUUGAACCGUGUAUCCCCAUGAGAAAGUCUACUAUCUUACAUGAUUGCAUAAUCAACGCAAAAAAAAAAAAAUUUAUAUCAAAAAACAAGCGGAAUAAGAAUAAUUAACAAGUUAGAAAUACAGCCAGGAAAUCGUAAAAAGAUAGAGAAAGCGGGGCGCCAUUAAAUUACAGAUAAAAUGGAAUGGAAAGCGAGAGUCCAAAGCAGAAAUGGAAAGAAACGAAGGAAAGAAAUAAAAAUGGAAGGCCAGCCGAUUAUUGGUGGAUGAAAAUGGCGGAAGAGGGAAGAAACGCGGAAAAUCAAGCUAUUAAUAUACACGGGGACCGGCCAGGCAACAUUCUAAGCAAGCAGAGAAACACACGUUGUUUCGCGCGGUUGCUCGCCAAGCAGAACGAAGAAUUUUAACGCUCCUCCUUUUCCCGCACCUGCUGCUCAGGCAUUCAGCCAGGGACACGCAAUUACCGGUGUUUUUCUCCCGCGAAACGAUUAAUAACGCGGCCCGCGACACGCUCUACAAUUAUGGCGCCGGGUACGUAAGUAAAUGCCCUCGAGGAUCGGGUCUUGUUUCGAAUAAUCGAGCUCGGUCGUGGAUCGACGCCUUUCUGAUCGAUAACCAAAUUGUCCCUAUAAUCGUGUUGAAUAAUUCAUCUAAAUUUUCUCUCUUAUGAAUAGAUUUUUAAUCGAAUAACCAACA